rnacentral:lncRNA from 1 species
CCGCCAGUGCCUGCAGCUCCUCCUGGUACAGCGCGGCGCAGGCGUCCACCACCCCACGCAGCGCCACGUCGGGGUUCCGCAGCACCCGCAGCGUCUGCGCCGCCCGCCCUUCCCGGAUGGCCUGGUUGAUGGCGGCCGUGCCCAGGGCCAUGCGCCUCACCGCCGCCGUCUCCUCGUUGGCCGCGCGCACCCCGCGCUCGAUCUCCUCCCACCACAGCUCAGCUCCAUCGUCCCCGCUGGUCUGUGCUUUGGCCGCCCGCGCACGGCUGAGGACGCGGUGGUAGCGGCCGGCGUUGGGCAGAGCCACGUCGGGCAGAGCGGCCGCGGGCAGCAGCAGCGCCGCCAACGUCCUCUGCGGGUCCGCGUGGCGCAGCGCCGCG